rnacentral:rRNA from 1 species
GUAUGUUGACGUAUUCUGAAAGGAGUACUUCUUCGGACAAUAUACAAGGUGCUGCAUGGUUGUCGUCAGCUCGUGCCGUGAGGUGUCGGGUUAAGUCCCAUAACGAGCGCAACCCCUACUCAUUAGUUGCCAUCAGGUCAAGCUGGGGACUCUAAUGAAACUGCCUACGCAAGUAGUGAGGAAGGUGGGGAUGACGUCAAAUCAGCACGGCCCUUACGUCCAGGGCUACACACGUGCUACAAUGGCCGAUACAGAGGGCAGCUACCUGGUGACAGGAUGCAAAUCUCCAAAGUCGGUCUCAGUUCGGAUCGGAGUCUGCAACCCGACUCCGUGAAGUUGGAUUCGCUAGUAAUCGCGCAUCAGCCAUGGCGCGGUGAAUACGUUCCCGGGCCUU